GCCACAACCAAAAAAAAGAGGUGAUAGCAAUUGGCAACAUAAAUGAGCAAAAAUGGCUGCUUCAGGACAAGGCUCCUAGGUUUCAAAUCCAGUUCAGAUAGAAGCCACAGCUCUGUGGCUGAGAGAAUCUAUUUAACCUCAGGAAACUAAUCUACAAGCCAAGGCCCAGGACAUUAUCAAGAACACCACCCUCUGAGGCUUUUGAAAGAAAUUGAAACAGAACAUGAAUGCAACAAUGCCUUGAUUCCGGGUAUAGCUCUCAGCUCCAGCAACAAGCAUGCCACCACGGACCCUCCGUGAUGAUCAUGGAAUAAGCCUCUGAAACUGAAACAAGUCCCCAAUUAAAUGCUUUCUUUUAUAAGAGCUGUCGUGGUCAUGGUGUCUCUUCACAACCAUAGAACAGGGACUAAGGCACCACCCUGAACACCACGAACCACACCUAACAGGCCAAUGAGACUGCAACGGAGGGGCCGUGGACAGCUGUGGGUGCUUUCUGCCAAGCUUGAUGACCCAAGCUCGGUCCCGGAAACCCACAUGGAGGACGGAGAGAACUCCUGAACAUCGCUCCCUGACCACCACGCCACGUGUGACAUGGUGCAUGUAUAUGUACACACACACAAUUUACAGUUUUAAUUAUACUAGUUGCCACUAUAUAAUUUACAUGUAAAAACAAUGCUCUCAUUUAGGGAACACCCCUUGUGCUUCCUCUGAGGUGACCUUUACUAAGAAGCUAGGUGGCACCAGUGGCCAUUGCAGGACACUGGGAUAAGAACUCCCUCCUCUUAGCCAGUGCUCACACAUCUGUAAUCCAGCACUCGGAGGCAGAGGCAGGUGGAUCUCUAUGAGCUUGAGGCCGGCCUGGUCUACACCAAGUUCCAGGCCAGCCAGAGCUACACAGAGAGACCUUGUCUCAAACUGUCCCCCCAAACACCUCCCCCACACACACAUCCACACACACACACAGCCAUUGGUUCCAAGAACUUCCUCCUCUUGUCCCCACCAUCUUCAAAGGAAAGUUGCUAGUUACUCACCAAGGCCUUUCCAGCCUGGCCCCAAGACACUUCCUUACCCUUCUCAAGCCAUACACACCUGUGCCCUACAGAGUCCCACGUGACCAAGGCCCUGGUGCCGUGCUCUUGAUGGCCAGGACCCGGCAUACAGGCAAAGCUGUAGAAACAGAAGCAGGAGGUUUACACCUUCAGUGGAUGUGGGUAGGGACAUCUGCCCCUGGUCUCCAGAAAUGCAGACCAGAAAGUGUGGAGUCCAAUUCAAUUACCCACAGCCUGCUCUAGGCCUCGAAUGUCCUUACCUCCUCUCCAAGCCCACUUUCUCACUGGACUUCGAGGAAAAGGCCCUUUGCAAGAUGGAAAGGAAACAUAAAAGAGACAACCCCCAGGAGGGCCGGUGUGGGAAUCUUCUUUAUUCCAGUCAUCAUUAUCCUAGUUGUCAGUCAGGAUGGCUGCCAUUCAUGACAACUUCCUGACUGCUUCAUUCUACCUGCAGUGGCUCUUAAAGGCACAACCACCAAAAACAGGCAGGUGAGUUACAUGGGAUGCUCCAAAGGACCAUUCUGCUGGGGUUCACCAUGCAGCCUCUCUCAGCAGAAGCCACAUGUAGAUGUGUUCCUCACUGUGUUUCCUGGGCAGAGACCUGGGGAACAAAGGCACCCACACC